rnacentral:rRNA from 1 species
UGGGGAAUAUUGCACAAUGGGCGAAAGCCUGAUGCAGCGACGCCGCGUGAGGGAUGACGCCUUCGGGUUGUAAACCUCUUUCAGCAGGGACGAAGCGCAAGUGACGUACCUGCAGAAGAAGCACCGGCUACUACGUGC